ACGAGGAGAUUGGUUAGUGGCGAGCACGACUGGGUCGAGCUCGGUCAAGUCUCGUCUCUCCCUCCUGUUCCUACUGCUAGACUAGAUCAGCCGAUGGCGACGGCGCGGGCCGAGAGCGGGCCGGCGAGAUAGCGCACGCCUCCGCACUCUCCCCUCCCCGCGCCGCCCCUCGCCGCAGCCCAUGGACGCUCUCGCGCCCGCCCCCACCCGCCGCCGCCUCCUCGCCGGCGCGGCCGCCGCCACCGCCUGCUACGGCCUCUACCGCCUCUACCUCCACCACCGCCGCCGCAUCGCCGCGGCGCUCUCCCUCGCCGACGCGCUCUCGCAGGCCGGCUCCGACCUGGCCGACUUCCUCCGCUCCGACUCCGACCAGGUGCCCCGCAGCCUGCGCCAGCUCUCCAAGCUCGCCGCCUCCGACCACGUCUCCUCCGCCGCCUCCGCGCUCUCCGAGUCGCUCGCCUCGGGGGCCCUCCGCGCCUUCUCCUCCCACCGGGCCGCCCGGGGCACGGAUCCCUCCUCCCCGCCGCUGCAAGACCGGAUCUUGGACCGCCUCCUCUCCCCCGCCGGCGCCGGGUUCGCCUCCGCCGUCCUCGGGAGCUUCGCCAGGAACCUCGUGCUCUCCUGCCGUGAUCCCGAUGCCCGGCCCCGCGCCCCCGGCCAGCCGGACUGGCUCGCUGCGCUGUGCAGCGACAGGGGCAAGGAGGCCGCCGCGGAGCUCGUCCGGGUGUUCGUCAGCACCGCCGUCGCCGCCUACCUCGACAGGACCGCGGCCGUGCGCUCCUCCGACCAGGUGCUCGCCGGCGUCACUGACCCCAAGCACGACGCCAAGCUCAAGGACCUGCUCGUGUCCGUCUGCAACGGCGCCGUCGAGACGUUCGUCAGGACCUCCCGGCAGGUCACAAAGGAGGUCUCCAUUUCUCGAGCUGAAGCAGCCGUGGCGGCGCGAGAGCUCUCCAAUUCAGGUCCUAGCUGUGUAAUGGAGAGAGUAUCGACCACCUUGGCCAUGCCAAGCAACCGGAGGUUUGUGCUGGAUGUCACGGGCAGGGUCACCGCCGAGAUGGUCCGGUCAUUCCUCGAGUUCUCGACUCAGCGGGUGUCUGCUGGUGCACGAAAGAGCAUUGUCGUUGCCCGGGACGAAAUCACCGAAAGGGGUCUUGUCGCGGUCAAGUACCUGAGCGCCAAGUCCAUGGCCAUCUUCACCUUAUGCCUCACAAUGUGCAUGCACAUUUCGGUUGGAAUGAGGUUCCCUUUGCCGGCCUAGGCAUAGCCUGGUGUGGACUUCAAGAUUAUUUGGCACAAGGACGAAGCAUUUCGGAGAUCUGCUAUGGGCUGGAAGUCAUUUCUGAAAUACUUGUUAUUUGACAUGGGGAUGCAGCAUUUCCAAGAUCCGCCAAGGGCCAGAAGUUACUCUCACAAUGCUUAUUAUUUGGCACGAGGACAGCAUUUGAGAGAUCUGCCGAGGGCUGGAAGUCAUUUCUGUAAUACUUAUCACCAACCUUAUUCUAGGCGGUCAAAACUAAAAAAAAGAAGGCUAAGAAAUCCUGAUAAAAGCUUACAGGAAACUGUAAGAACAACAAGCGAACUGGAGUUCACAUAUGAGAUGCUGCUAAUCAAACAGACCAUCAACUGAAGAGGUGGUGGAGAUUAUUGAGCAAGUUGUUUGGACCACUGAAGACCUUGAAUCUGGUGGUUCAGCAACAACUCAUUAUGGGCAUAACCAACUGUCAGAUUAUAUAUCUCCAUCUCAGGGUCCACCCUAUGUAUUUUAUCAGGAUGUACUCAAACACUCAAAUAAUUUGUAUCAUGAUGCACAAUCACAAGAGAGUAUACAUUGUUAGUGAUCAUGUGACAGAUCCUUGCACAAACUGAAUGCAAACUAUGAAUUAUGACCAGAUGGCUAAAUUUUGUAUAACUAUUGCCUGCUGGUUUUUUGACAUGGGGAUUCGACAUUUCCAAGAUCCGUCGAGGGCCAGAAGUUACUCUCGCACUGCUUGUAAGCUGCCAUUACCUCUGAAGCAUGUUUCCGCAUGUAUCACUUGAUUUCAGACUCUGGUUUUUCUAUAGGCUAUCCUGGAAUACAAUGUCUCAAAGUAGGAUGUAGUUGUGAUUGUGUUUUGAUAUGGAUUGUCCUUCUUGUGUACUGUUUCAGAGGAUCCGAUCCUGCACACACAGCUGAAUGAUAUCCAACAUUUUAACAUCAUACAUCAUGAUGGCACCCAAGUUAUGACUUUAUUGAAAUUAAGUGGAUGCAAUGAUUUGUUUUUGAAUUAGACUAAUUACUAUUUUUUUUGAGACAUGACUACUUACUAUUUGAGUCUACUAAUCUGUUCUAUGUAUAUUCAAAGAUAAUAUAAUAGAAAGACUCUAAAGUGUCUUAGAUUUUUUUUCUUUUAUUCUCUAUAUAUCAGAGGGGUUUGUUCUAAGAAUACCAAAUAGAUGCACUAGAAUUUGGGUCUAUUUAGGUGCCCUCGUAUGAUGGUGAGGAUCCAGCAGUCUUGUUUUAAAGUUGAAACAAGACGCAAUAUCCACAGGAAAAUAAAAAACCAGAAAACAUGGCUUGAAUGAAGCAAUCGUGUGACCGGCAUGCUCAGCGCCAGAAGUAAACCAUGGGCUGUAUCAGUCUUCUCACGCGGCAACACAUUUGAGACAUGGUGAUAUGGAGGGCUGGUCCAUGAAAAAUAUCUUAGCUUUUCUAACCAUUGCACGCGCCAGUACCACAGUACAUUUUCAUCCAACCAGUAUUGGUUGCUGCAUCACAUGUCAUACAGCUGGUCUCAUCAAAUCUUAUCAAAUCACA